GUGCUGGCAAUAAAUACUAACACUUUUCACUAGUUCCAAUUUGUUAUUUUAAUGGAAGUAAUCAAGUUUAAUUCUAGAUAAAUUACAUCUCACAGCUGAUCCUACAAAAUACUCAACGUCUCAACGGUAAUUUGUUGUACAUUUUCUUGAUAAUUUGCCUCAACCAGUGAGACUGAGUGAAACAAUACACUACAAAUGUUGAUAUAGAGCACAGUGUAAUGGUAGGUGAAAAAAAGAGUGGCUAAAGAUACCAGAAGGACAUUCCAAUUCAUAGAUUGAAAGUUGUGCUUAGUGAUACUUAAACAUGCAUGUACUUCUUAAUACAGUAAGAGCUGCUUAUUCUUAUUACUAUUAUCAUUGGAGAUUUUUUUUCCAAAGUAUAAAAAAAACUUUCAGUCUUGACAUUAAUUAACAUUGUAUUCUGAAUGUAUGUCUUGUCAGUACCAUUUUAUCUGCAUUGCUAUAUUAGUAUUUAAGAAUUUUGACAUUAACUUAUGUUUGAUUGUAUGUCUUGACUACAGUUUAGUCUGAAUGUUUGUCUGACACUAACAUUUAAGUUAUUUUUUAUUUAAAUAUUAAAAUACUAGGACUUCUCUUUAUUAAUCAUAUAAUAGUUAAAAUGAUUUCUUUUUAUGAAUGUUAUAAAGUUUGAAUGCAGUCAGAUUGGUGAAAAAAGAUUUACCAGUAAUAUUCUUGUAAAAGGCUGUCUACCACUAACAAUCUGAAAGCAAUUAACUUAUCAAGACAGCAAGUGAAGAAGACCAACCAAGGUGAAGCCCCCCCUUUUUUUUGUGGGAAAAAUGUGGUUGACUAUUUGAGAAUUAUCUGAAGCAUGAUUGGAGUGAGUGCCCACUUAGGCAGUCAGUGAAAAAUUCUGGAUCCACCACUCAACACUUUCCACAGAUCCUACUUUUAUUUAAAUAUUGAGUUUAAUUCAUCUCUACAUUUUUCUAAAUAGGGAUUCAAUUUUAUCCAAGAUCAAGGGUUUGUUCUUUAAUAAUACUACUAAGUUUGCAUGUGAAUGGGCAGUUAAAACAUAUCUUUAAAUAUUGUGAAUUGUAUUCAAUAUUUUCAAACUUCAUGGGUAUAUUCUUUAUUAGGUACAAUCUGACAGUAUUUGACAACUUUGAAAAUAUACUACAUUUAGAAGAAAUUGAACUUGGAAUUAUUCCAUUAAAAUCAAUUAGAAUGAUCCUAAUUAUAUUCCAAAUGUAAAGUUUUUAAAAAACAUGAAUAAUCUGAUGCCUUCUUUACUCUCAUCCAAGUUUAUUGGUUCACCUUAUAAAAAUGAAUCUAUCUGAAUAAAAGGAGGAAAGGGAUAUUUACCUUAGUUAGUACAGUCUAACCACUUAUUAAAGUCACAUUUUGAAUCAACCUGUCAGACCCCUUUCUUUUUUCCCCAACUGUAGUAAAAGCUAAACAUUUUGAACUUCAAUUAAAAAAUCUUCUCUUUUCUUAGCUUCAUUUUCUCUGGGUCCACCUUUAUUUAAAGGUUGUAAAAGCUUAACACUUUGGACUUCAUUAAAAGAUCUUCUCUUUUAUUGGGUCCGUUUUCUCUGGUCUCAUGGGGGUCCACUGGGUGACCUUUAUUUACAGGUUGUAAAAGCAAAACAUUUUGAAUUUCAAUUCAAAGGUUGUAUUAUCUAUUAGGUCCCAUUUCUCUGGUCCAGAGGGUGGCAUUUAUA
rnacentral:lncRNA from 1 species